GAAUCUUGGACAAUGGGGGAAACCCUGAUCCAGCGACGCCGCGUGACCGAUGAAGCCUUUCGGGGUGUAAAGGUCUUUCAGCGGGGACUAACCUGACGGUACCCGCAGAAGCAGCUGCGGCUCACUACGUCCCAGCAGCCGCGUUAAUACGUAGGCAGCAAGCGUUGUUCGGACUUACUGGGCGUAAAGCGAGUGUAGGCGGUCUGCCAAGUCCGCCGUGAAAUCUCCCGGCUCAACUGGGAGGGUGCGACGGAAACUGGCAGGCUUGAGUGCGGGAGAGGAGAGUGGAAUUCCUGGUGUAGCGGUGAAAUGCGUAGAUAUCAGGAGGAACACCGGUGGUGAAGACGGCUCUCUGGACCGCCACUGACGCUGAGACUCGAAAGCGUGGGGAGCAAACAGG
rnacentral:rRNA from 1 species